CCUACGGGUGGCAGCAGUGAGGAAUAUUGGUCAAUGGCCGGGAGCCUGAACCAGCCAAGUCGCGUGAGGGAAGACGGUCCUAUGGAUUGUAAACCUCUUUAGGCGGGGAGCAAUGCCGGGCACGCGUGCCCGGAGGGAGAGUACCCGCAGAAUAAGCAUCGGCUAACUCCGUGCAAGCAGCCGCGGUAAUACGGAGGAUGCGAGCGUUAUCCGGAUUUAUUGGGUUUAAAGGGUGCGUAGGCGGAUUUGUAAGUCAGCGGUAAAAUGUACGGGCUCAACCCGGGCCGGCCGUUGAAACUGGGGUUCUUGAGUGGGCGAGAAGUACGCGGAAUGCGUGGUGUAGCGGUGAAAUGCAUAGAUAUCACGCAGAACUCCGAUUGCGAAGGCAGCAUACCGGCGCCCGACUGACGCUGAGGCACGAAAGCGUGGGGAUCGAACAGGAUUAGAUACCCCGGUAGUC
rnacentral:rRNA from 1 species